ensembl:lncRNA
CAAUGUUGGCCAAAGGUGGCUGCUGUACUGUGCGUACAACCGGAAACCCCAAAUUGGGUUUGCAUCUCUCUGGCCGAGCAAGGUGCCUUCCCCAGCCUCACCUCCAGAUGUUCCAUGGGGGUUUGAGGUGUGGAGGAGGAGUUAACGGAGCUUGGUGUCUCUCUUAUUGAGCAGGGACAUGGGCAGAAGAACUGUGGAUGGAGGGAGGCCAACAUACUCCGAUCUCAGCUGUCAUUUCGAAUUUGAUCUCCUCUGUGCCAGAAAUUGGAUUUAUUGCUGGAAUCACUGAAACUUGUAACCCAGUCAUGAAGGAUAGCAAACUGUAUCAAUAAAAGGGAAGAGUCUCGUCUAAGAGUUCCCUGUCUUGAGUGUAUUCUCUUUUUUAUUAUUAUUAAAUUGAUUUGGUACCUUUGGCA